AUCCUCCCCAUGCAGGGAAGGAUGAGAAGCUUCGACUAAGGUUCGAUUCGAGCGCAGCGAGAAAGCGUUGCCGCAGGCAACGACCCGAAGGGCGAGGAGCAGCGCGACGAGUAAUCCUUCCCCCACCAUCA
rnacentral:sRNA from 1 species